AUAAAGAAGAAGAAAAUUAAAUCAGAACUAAAUGUUCAGAGCAUGUGUGCUGUAUACAGCUUACUUGUAGUACUGUUUCUGUAAAGCACUCAUUUCCAUCCUUAAAAUCUGUUCAACCUUGGCAGGAAGAGAUUUUUCUACAUCUUUCUUAACCCGACGU